GAUGAACGCUAGCUACAGGCUUAACACAUGCAAGUCGAGGGGUAGCAGGAGAGAAGCUUGCUUUUCUUGCUGACGACCGGCGCACGGGUGAGUAACGCGUAUCCAACCUUCCCCGCAGUAGGGAACAGCCCGGCGAAAGUCGGAUUAAUGCCCUAUGUUCUCCUUUGCAGGCAUCUAACGAGGAGCAAAGAUUCAUCGCUGCGGGAUGGGGAUGCGUCUGAUUAGCUUGUCGGCGGGGUAACGGCCCACCGAGGCGACGAUCAGUAGGGGUUCUGAGAGGAAGGUCCCCCACAUUGGUACUGAGACACGGACCAAACUCC
rnacentral:rRNA from 1 species